UACGUAGGUGGCGAGCGUUAUCCGGAAUGAUUGGGCGUAAAGGGUGCGUAGGCGGACUUUUAAGUGAGAUGUGAAAUACUCGGGCUCAACUUGAGUGCUGCAUUUCAAACUGGAAGUCUAGAGUGCAGGAGAGGAGAAUGGAAUUCCUAGUGUAGCGGUGAAAUGCGUAGAGAUUAGGAAGAACACCAGUGGCGAAGGCGAUUCUCUGGACUGUAACUGACGCUGAGGCUCGAAAGCGUGGGGAGCAAACAGG
rnacentral:rRNA from 1 species